rnacentral:rRNA from 1 species
AGAAUCAACGCUGGCGGCGUGCCUAACACAUGCAAGUCGAACGAGAAAGGGGUAGCAAUACCCUGAGUAAAGUGGCGCACGGGUGAGUAACACGUGACUAACCUACCCUUGAGUGGGGGAUAACUGAGGGAAACCUUAGCUAAUACCGCAUAAUACCCACGGGUCAAAGGAGCAAUUCGCUCGAGGAGGGGGUCGCGGCCGAUUAGUUAGUUGGCGGGGUAAUGGCCCACCAAGACGAUGAUCGGUAUCCGGCCUGAGAGGGCGCACGGACACACUGGAACUGAAACACGGUCCAGACUCCUACGGGAGGCAGCAGUGGGGAAUUUGCGCAAUGGGGGAAACCCUGACGCAGCAACGCCGCGUGGAGGAUGAAGUCCUUCGGGACGUAAACUCCUUUCGAUCGGACGAUUAUGACGGUACCGGAAGAAGAAGCCCCGGCUAACUUCGUGCCAGCAGCCGC